GUAGGUGGCAAGCGUUGUCCGGAAUUAUUAGGCGUAAAGCGCGCGCAGGCGGUCCUUUAAGUCUGAUGUGAAAGCCCACGGCUCAACCGUGGAGGGUCAUUGGAAACUGGGGGACUUGAGUACAGAGGAGGAAAGCGGAAUUCCAAGUGUAGCGGUGAAAUGCGUAGAGAUUUGGAGGAACACCAGUGGCGAAGGCGGCUUUCUGGUCUGUAACUGACGCUGAGGCGCGAAAGCGUGGGGAGCAAACAGGAUUAGAUACCCUGGUAGUCCACGCCGUAAACGAUGAGUGCUAAGUGUUAGGGGGUUUCCCGCCCCCCUUAGUGCUGCAGCUAACGCAUUAAGCACUCCGCCUGGGGAGUACGGCCGCAAGGCUG
rnacentral:rRNA from 1 species